CACAAGCGGUGGAGCAUGUGGUUAAUUCGAAGCAACGCGAAGAACCUUACCAGGUCUUGACAUCCCGAUGCUAUUCUAGAGAUAGAAAGUUACUUCGGUACAUCGGUGACAGGUGGUGCAUGGUUGUCGUCAGCUCGUGUCGUGAGAUGUUGGGUUAAGUCCCGCAACGAGCGCAACCCCUAUUGUUAGUUGCCAUCAUUCAGUUGGGCACUCUAGCGAGACUGCCGGUAAUAAACCGGAGGAAGGUGGGGAUGACGUCAAAUCAUCAUGCCCCUUAUGACCUGGGCUACACACGUGCUACAAUGGUUGGUACAACGAGUUGCGAGUCGGUGACGGCGAGCUAAUCUCUUAAAGCCAAUCUCAGUUCGGAUUGUAGGCUGCAACUCGCCUACAUGAAGUCGGAAUCGCUAGUAAUCGCGGAUCAGCACGCCGCGGUCGAGUACGUUCCCGGGCCUU
rnacentral:rRNA from 1 species